ACUGCCUUGAUCCACUUGGCUACAUCC
rnacentral:tRNA from 1 species